rnacentral:lncRNA from 1 species
GUCAUCAAAAUCCUUUACACUGAAAAUGCGCAGACUGUUCACAAUUAUUUAGAGGAUCUCUCUGCCAAGUCUGACUUCUUGGAAUCAGAAUGGAAACGUUUUUGUUCCUCCCACCUAACAGAACUGUUGAGUUAUGAUCCAAAGAAAAUUUCUCUAUUUGAUGCAAUAUCUGAUCAAAUUGUUUGGUUUGAGUACAAAUCACCAUCAAGUGUUUUGAGGCAGUUUGUUUACAAUCUCCUCAAAGUUUUCUCCUGCAAGGAAGUUUUUGAAAAAGUUUUCUCUGUCAUCAACACUUCCAAGUUCAACUUACAAAAGUUCUUAACUUCAUUUCUCUGGUAUGCACGCAUUAUGGAGAAAAACCUUGCUUAGAAAUCGUGGAGGAAUGUUUUUGUGGGGCAAUCACAGACCAUAAUGAUCAUAUGGUGUAUGUGUCUUUGUUAUUUAUUCGUCAGAUAUUUUUACAAGACUCAGUCUCUUUUCAAAAUACGCCAAGUGGUUCAAGAGUUUACGGUUGAAUAAUGCUCAGUUCAGCUUUCUCUUCCAAUGUUAACAAGGAUUGUGCCCUAUGAGCCUCCCUUGUGCUUGAAAAUUCACAUCAAUGAGUUCCCGAAUGUGCCAUGUCGAACGACAGUUUCGGAUUAUAACUUACUUGUAAAAACUCGACUCAUGGACCUAAAGGAAACUAUGGAGUACCAGGGAAUUUUCUAUCUCUCAGAUAAGAGUGGGCAGAAAGCAGAUCUCCGGAAAAUCAUAUCUCAUUUUGUCGAGACUGGAGAAGUAGCAAAAUUACUGAUCGAAGCAUCUGUUUUCGAAGGCAGUAUUUCAACAAUGUGUUCCUUCCGUACCUGCUCGGUAGCGAAAGUGAAGAUCUUGAGGGGAAAACAAAAUUCAUUGAGCGUUUAA